rnacentral:rRNA from 1 species
CACGUAGGGGGGCGAGCGUUGUCCGGAAUCAUUGGGCGUAAAGAGCUCGUAGGCGGCUCGGUAAGUCGGGUGUGAAACCCCCAGGCUCAACCUGGGGACGCCACCCGAUACUGCUGUGGCUAGAGUCCAGUAGGGGAGUGUGGAAUUCCCGGUGUAGCGGUGAAAUGCGCAGAUAUCGGGAGGAACACCAGCGGCGAAGGCGGCACUCUGGGCUGGAACUGACGCUGAGGAGCGAAAGCGCGGGUAGCAACAGG